UACAACUUGCCUAAUAAUUCUGCACUCCCUGUAUGUCCUCCUCCACCACAUCCAUGAAUAUUCUCUAUGGUCAUUCUCCUUUCCUCCUGUCUGGCAUCUUCAGCAUCCAUUGUCAAAUAUAUCCACUAUCCCUCCUCUACACAUGUCCAAGCCAUCUCAGCUGUCUCUCUCUGACUUUGUCUCCAAACCACUCAACCUGAGCUGUCCCUCUGAUGGAAUUAUUUGUAAUCCUACCCAUCCUGGUCACUCCUAGUGAAUUUUACCAUCUUCAACUCAGCCACGUCCAGCUCUGCCCUCUGUCUUUUUAAGGAUACCACUGUUUCCAUACAAUACAUCAUGGCAGAUCUCAAUACUAUUUUUGUAAAGCUUCCCUCUCAAUCUUGCAUCCUUGUGUCACAAAUCAUCUCAGACACUUGUCUCCACCCACUCCACCACGCUGCCUGCACUCUGUACUCCACCUCUUUUGUAGAUCACCCAUUGCUUUUUGUAUGGCUGACCCCAGGUAUUUAUAUUCAUCCACCUUCUCUAUUCCUUGCAUCUUCACCAUUACACCUGUCUCACCGUUAUUCACAGAUAAUUCAUUUAUACAUUAUAUAAAUUUUUUCAAAUGGGUCAAUGGGCUGCGGGAGAAAUUUUAGAGGAACAAAAAUUCCAAUGUUUGUGUCAUAUGAGUGUCUGUUUCUCCUAUGAAAAUGACUGAAAUGUAAUUAUUUUCCCUCUAUUAUCAGUCAUGGGUCGUCCUUUCACUAUUUUCCUUAUCUGAGUUAAAAUCUGUUAAAAUGCAUUUUCACUAUUUCUCUCUCUCUCUCUGUUACUCAGACGACCUCUCUUGGAUAAACACUGGUUUACUGGUUCCCAUACUGGUGAGCUGUACACUGGGACUUGUUUUCAUUGUCACCUUGAUGUGCUGCAUAUUAAGGCAAAAAAGAGUUGCUGCUGGACGAGACAAAGGCAUGCAUGUUGGAUACAAUACUGGAGACAAGGACGAGUAUGGCUCAAGAGUAUAACUCCUUGUUCUGAAUCACACUUCAAAGGAGCUCAGAAACUUCAACAUCCUUAAGACUUUUGUCCCUUUGCAUCACUCACUUUAUUUAUUUUUUGCCCCAUGGGUCACUUUGGAGAUUUAUAAAGGCAUGCAAGGUUUAAUCACAUCACAUGAUAAAGUUUGCGUGUGGCUCUAGGGUUUUGGGAAGUACUUUUUUCUCUCAAGCCACAAUCUGGAGUCCUUUUGCUGUGUUGUGGCAGGCAGAAGAUGGUAGGCCUUCAUGCUGGAUGUUUUAAACUGCAUGCAAGAGGAACAGCUGUCCUCUUUAAUUCCACUUUAUUUAUCUGACAUGAUGUGGUGUGUUUCCUAAGGAGAGCUUCACACAGAGUCUACCAGGCAAGAGCCAAGAGCUGAACUGGUGAAAAUCUCAGGUCAAGUCAGAUCAUGGCACCCAUUCCCUAGGGCUGUCCCGGCAUGGUGGAAAGCCCAACCACAGUUCAAACAAUAGGGGGAUAGGAUUUGACAGACAUCUCUGAUGAUAGGAUGGCCCUAGAGGGAUGGGCUAUACCACAAUUCCAACAACCCUGUACUUACAGUUGCUUUAUGGAUUUCAUAAUAAAAGGGUGCUUAGCUUCAUUCAAACACAGCUCCUUCAUUGUGAAAAAUGUUGAGGAAAAAAAGGCUUUUGUGUUUCCAGCCACUCGUGGGCUGACCCCUAACCCUCUGUCCGGCAGUCGGAUCACAAGACUAACUCCCCAGCACUCCUGAUAGCUUCUUAGUUGGCCUGUAGGCUGUACAGUUAACCACAGGACUGCUGGAAAGUUAACAUGUUAUCCUCAUCAGGUUUCCCUUAGCCUUUCUUCAUGCCAUUCUUUUGUAUAAUUUGAGAUGAGUUAUUGCUUUGUGUAUUUUACAGACGUAGUCAGUUCCAUCUUCCUGCAGUAGUAAUGACCAUGUGGAGCUGUUAAUCCCUGGUUAAAGCGUGUUUGUCUGGUGAAAGCUGUAAUGUGUGGAGGUGAUGGAUGAACUGGAAAUUAUAUCAGAAUGUUUAGACUGAUUAAAAAGCCUGUGCAAAUGAGAAGUACAAUCUUAAAGCAAAAUAAGCAUGAGGUGAUUCGUUUUGUCACAAUAAAAUGCUCCCUCAGUGUGCCAGGUCUUUAACACAUUAAUAUAUUUUUUCUUGUAAUUGUUACUCAUUUAUUUAUUUUGUCUGCUCAUCAAAUUUUAUUCUUGUUAUACUGUUUUGUUUUGUUUGGGAUUUUAAAAAUAAAUGCACCAUUACAUGUGUCAAGAUGUGGCAAAUGGUAUGUUUGUCAUAGUGAGCUAUACAGUUUUUUGUGUACAACAAAUGCAGACAAAACUCAUCAUUAAAA